GACGAACGCUGGCGGCGUGCCUAAUACAUGCAAGUCGAACGCAGUGGGGACGGGUGAGGAACACGGGGGUAACCUCCCAUCAGAGGGGAUAACAGUUGGAAACAGGUGCUAAACCGAUACGGAUGGAGGGACCCGCGGUGCAUUAGCUAGUUGGUUAGGUAACGGCUCACCAAGGUCACGAUGCAUAGCCGACCUGAGAGGGGGAUCGGCCACACUGGGACUGAGACACGGCCCCGACUCCUACGGUAGGCAGCAGUAGGGAAUCUUCCGCAAUGGGCGCAAGCCUGACGGAGCAACGCCGCGUGAGUGAAGAAGGUUUUCGGAUCGUAAAGCUCUGUUGUAAGAGAAGCGGUAUCUUACCAGAAAGCCACGGCUAACUCCGUGCCAGCAGCCGCGGUAAUAC
rnacentral:rRNA from 1 species